AUUGAACGCUGGCGGCAGGCCUAACACAUGCAAGUCGAGCGGAAAGGGGGACGGGGGAGGGAUAACUAGGAAGCAGCCCGGGAGUGGGGGAUCAAGUUGGGGAGGGGACGCUUAUGCCGCAUAAUAUCAGAUGAGUCUAGGGCGGAUUUGCUAGUUGGUGAGGUAAUGGCUCACCAAGGCUACGAUCCGAAACUGGUCUGAGAGGAUGAUCAGUCACACUGGAACUGAGACACGGCCCAGACUCCUACGGGAGGCAGCAGUGGGGAAUAUUGGACAAUGGGCGAAAGCCUGAUCCAGCCAUGCCGCGUGUGUGAAGAAGGUCUUCGGAUUGUAAAGCACUGUAAGUUGGGAGGCGUUACCGACAGAAUAAGCCCCGGCUAACUCUGUGCCAGCAGCCGCGGUAAUUC
rnacentral:rRNA from 1 species